GGAAACCCCGGCGCCCUGCAGUCGAUGAUAGAUUACCUCGGCUUUAUCUCAGCCGGCUGAUUAUUCCUCCUCUAUCAUGAAACCUAAAUCUUAGCGGGGAUGUGAUCGUCUUGUAAUGUGGUCUGAAAUAGCUUGAUUAUGCUCAGGUUCAUUUUUACUUUGUUAUCAGUCUGGAUUACACUCGUCACAUUUCAGCAGCAAUCUGUUUGUCAUUACAGGUGAUGCCAUCAUACUGAGACUUCCUGCUUGAAAGAUGUAUCGCGGAGGCAGGAGAUGCACCUUCAUUACACGGCGUAACCCUAAUAGCUGUCACACAGUUGUCUUAUUUGCAGGAGACAUUAUGCAUUAGAUAUAAUCACGAUGAACAUGACAGGAAUUAAGCAGCUUCCUCGUUGGUAUCCAUAUCAUCAUCAGCGAGAGAGCUUCAGGAGAAUGACCUAUUUAAACCAUCUAUCACAGCAUUAUUAAGCCAACAAUCGCUCACACAGCCAGGCUCCGCCAUGUCUAAAGAUAAGUUGGCUUCCUGAGUGCUGAAGUUUGCUGCCAGCCCACUCCAUGAUGGUGGCUCAGAGAGUGCUGCUGCAUGAUGAUGAGUAAAGUGUAAACUGACUGGAGGAAGCAAGCAAAUUGCAGUGCAGCAGACCCUCGGCCUCAGACAAGAAGAGAGACAGUGAGCCUUGGACUGUUUUCCUUUCCCUUUCUGCUCAUUGUGAUAUUGACUUGUUACUUUAAAAAGUUUAGAAAAAGAGUAUUGCAACAAGCUCCAAAUAUUCCCCUCUGGUUUUGAUAUGUUUUAUAGGAAAAACUAAACUAAGCUUUUAAACCUU